rnacentral:rRNA from 1 species
CAGCCGCCACGGGAAUACGUAGGGUGCAAGCGUUAAUCGGAAUUACUGGGCGUAAAGCGUGCGUAGGCGGUUCGUUAAGUCUGUUGUGAAAGCCCCGGGCUCAACCUGGGAAUGGCAAUGGAUACUGGCGAGCUAGAGUGUGUCAGAGGAUGGUGGAAUUCCCGGUGUAGCGGUGAAAUGCGUAGAGAUCGGGAGGAACAUCAGUGGCGAAGGCGGCCAUCUGGGACAACACUGACGCUGAGGCACGAAAGCGUGGGGAGCAAACAGGAUUAGAUACCCCGGUAGUCCCUGUCUCUUAUAC